UGUGCUUUAAGACAGGGACUGCUUUCGGGAAACACGCGGGAUAGGAAAGGGUCUUUCCUUCACCCUUCCUAAGGUCCUGCUGGGCCACCCUCCUUCGUACACCACGGAUGUUGCUGCUCCAGUCUCUGCUGUGUCCCUGCCGCCUGCUGUCCUUUCCCCUCCUCUGCCAGAUACUCUGCUGCCUACUGUCCCUGAGCUCCUGCCCAAGCUCCCCAGCUCUCUGGCCCCUACGGUGGUCGCAGCUUCUCAGAGUGUGCCCACACAGACCUCUACACUCCUCCCAC
rnacentral:lncRNA from 1 species